rnacentral:tRNA from 3 species
GGAAAGGUGACCGAGUGGCCGAAGGUGCACGACUGGAAAUCGUGUGUGCGUGAAAGCGUACCGAGGGUUCGAAUCCCUCCCUUUCCGCCA